rnacentral:rRNA from 1 species
AGUGAACGCUGGCGGCGUGCUUAAUACAUGCAAGUCGAACGAUGAAGCUUCUAGCUUGCUAGAAGUGGAUUAGUGGCGCACGGGUGAGUAAUAUAUAGUUAAUCUGCCUUGCACUGAGGAACAACAGUUGGAAACGAUUGCUAAUACCUCAUACUCCAACUUAGCAUAAGUUAAGUUGGGAAAGUCUUUUCGGUGCAAGAUGAGACUAUAUCGUAUCAGCUAGUUGGUAAGGUAAUGGCUUACCAAGGCUAUGACGCGUAACUGGUCUGAGAGGAUGAUCAGUCACAUUGGAACUGAGACACGGUCCAAACUCCUACGGGAGGCAGCAGUAAGGAAUAUUGUGCAAUGGGGGAAACCCUGACGCAGCAACGCCGCGUGGAGGAUGACACUUUUCGGAGCGUAAACUCCUUUUGUUAGGGAAGAAUAAUGACGGUACCUAACGAAUAAGCACCGGCUAACUCCGU